GACAGAGGUGCCAAGCGUUAGGCGGAAUCACUGGGCUUAAAGCGCGUGUAGGUGGCGGCCUAAGUACCUUGUGAAAUCCUGCGGCUCAACCGCAGAACUGCUUGGUAUACUGGGUCGCUUGAGCCAUCCAGGGGCAACUGGAACAAGCGGUGGAGCGGUGAAAUGCGUAGAUAUCGCUUGGAACGCCAAAGGUGAAAACAGGUUGCUGGGGAUGCGCUGACACUGAGACGCGAAAGCUAGGGGAGCAAACAGG
rnacentral:rRNA from 1 species